CAGUGAACAGUCUUCUUUGUGUAGUUUUCAUUAUAUUGCACUCUUAUUUUUCAUUAUGUACAUGCCUGCAAUUCGCAGCUCGCUGUUUUUGUUGUUGUAUGGUAUUGUUGUUUUGCCUUCAUUUGUUUUGUCUGGUCCUUUGUAGUUUGAAUGUUGUCACAUGAUCCAAAUAGGACAAGCUCCUUGAUCACCACCCCAUUGGGAAGAAACUAAAUCACGACCCCCAAAUGGUAGUCUUCCCAUGCAGAUACAGGGAUGUCACACAGAUCCAAAUGGAAACAUCGAACACUGUAAAACCCACUGUGCAGACAGGACCAAUGGUGACAAUAUAAGACCAUGCCGAGCUUCGUGGACGGUUCAAACUCAUCCUGCCCAGGAACGGCUGAAAACGUUGACAGUCAAUCAACAGGGGGACAUGGAAAGAGAGGAUUGGAAGUGAAAUAGAGGGUUUUCCGGGACAGCCAUAGGGGAAGGACUGUGGCAUCUUCAUGUUGAUGGUAGACUGAUAUGCCAACUCUGAGGAAGUGGUGGUGUAUAUUGAUAGCGGACAAUUUCAAACUUGGGUGCAUGCCACAGGAAAGAGUUUGCCCAUUGGACAGAUGAGGCAAAAGCAUUACUGCAGGGUGAAGUGCCACCAGUCUAUCAGUUACAGAAGUGAAAUUUGAAUAUAAUUGCUGAGGAAGAGGUGCAACCACAGCUCCUUCAAGUUAGUGGUGGCCCACUCCAAAAAGAUAUGGCGGGAAAAAAUGUUUUGGUAAAAGGAUUGUGCAAGACAGCACAAAAGCCUCGGACAGGGCUAGGGGGAAAAAAAAAAUCAAUGCAGUAGGAGUUCCCAAGCAUCCUGCAGAUGGAAGAGGAUGAGCACGAACUACAAUGUCUUGGAGCCAUUCAAGUUCUGUUUCAACCAUCUGGAAGAUGGAUUUACCUUUUUUGAGGAGAUUGUUGACUAAAGAAAAUAUCUAUUCUCUCAAUAAUAAUAAAAAAUAAUAAAACUAAAAAAAUAAAGUUUACCACAUCAGAACUGGUUGU